UUGUAGACUGGGGUUGGUGGGGGUGGUGACUUGUACUUGUACCCGGAGUUGGCGGUGGUGGUGACUUGUACUUGUAGACGGGAGUGGGCGGUGGUGGCGACUUGUAUUUGUACACCGGAGUCGGCGGUGGUGGCGACUUAUACUUGUAGACGGGCGUGGGCGGUGGUGGCGACUUGUACUUGUACACCGGAGUUGGUGGUGGUGGGGACUUGUACUUGUACACCGGUGUGGGUGGUGGUGGGGACUUGUAGACGAUAAGGAGGUGGUGGUGGAGACUUGUAUAGAUACACCGGCGGCGGCGGUGGUGGGGAGCUAUAGACAUAAGGAGGAGGAGGGGAAGAGUAUUGGUAGUUAGCAUUAGCUAUUGAAGGGAAGCCAAUAGCAAAGAUUGCAACAAGCACAACUGCAAAGAGAGAGGCCAUAUUUCUUUUACUUCCCAUUUUCUUUGUGUUUAUGCUUAUGUUUUCUGUCCAACCAUCCGUCCUCUUUUUAUAGCGCAACGCUAAACUAAUCAUGGUU
rnacentral:lncRNA from 1 species